ACCCCGCCCCUCCUCCAACCUCAGCUCUGCCCUCCCCCUCGCUCCCCUCCCCCACAUUCAUCACCGCCUGGCCCUGGGCUCUGCCUCAGCCCUCAAACCGCAUUCUAGAACACCACACGCGGCCUAUGUCUGGUCAUCCUCCUAGAAGGCGGCUGGCUCCGUGACGCUCAGCUGAUGCGCUCCGUACCGGGUGGUCUGUGUGAACCAGAACUUCUGGAGACCGUGUGCAUCGUAACCGGAGACAGCCUGGGGGGCACGUUCAGCCAGCAAGCCGCUCGUACGGGUGAUCCGUUAUCUCUGGCGUUGACAACCCAGCCGAGGGAAAAGCCCCUCAAUCACGCGGGGCCUCGGGCCUCCGUGGGCACCACUGUGCGGGUACGCUGGCCGCCCUUCUGCCUGUCCGCUCCGUGGCCUGGCUGGGCUCCCGGCAGCCCACCCACACGAUCCCGGCCAGCGGGGCCCCAGCCAAGGGUCUGCGCCUCCCCCUUUCUCCCCGCGCUUCCCACCCGGUCACCCCAGUGCCGGUAAAUUCCGGUCCUGGCCGAAGGCCGACCCAGUCCUGCUGUCUGUCACCAGCGUCCGGCUUCCGCGGCUCCGUGCCCAGUCCCCUCUGGCGGGACGCCCGACCUCUCCCAGCCGCGGCGUCCUCAACCGCCCAACGGGGCACAGACCCCCCACCUCCCACGGCAACUGUCUUUCACAAAACCACAAAGCUGUGCCCACAUGGUGUCUGCCGACGGGAGGCGCGGAGAAAUGCUGUUUCAAGAGUCAGACUCGAGAAAGUGUCCUGUACGGCAAGAUGGCCUGUGACGCACGGACAGCUGCUCAGUACCCGCGCCAAGUAGGCAGGGGCCACAGCCCUCACGGCACAGGUCCGGAGGGCGAGGGACACACCAUGCGGACGCCUAGAAGGACCAACGCGGAAUUCUCCCCCACGAAGAGGCGGCAGAAGGGUGCCUUCAACCCAACAAAAGCUGUCAGGCACCAAAGAAUUCACCAACCUGCUUUUCAAGGGUUAAUUCUUUCUGAGGCUCUUUGGAGAGAGCCAGCAGCAGGGAGCAAACUCAAGCCAGACCCAGGCCGAGAGGCUGCCUCUCUCUCUCUCUCCUCUUCCGCCCGAAUAAACAUUGUGCAGACA